rnacentral:rRNA from 1 species
AACGCGAAGAACCUUACCUGGGCUCGAAGCGCAGUGGAAUCCGGUGGAAACAUCGGCGCCCGCAAGGGCCGCUGCGGAGGUGCUGCAUGGCUGUCGUCAGCUCGUGUCGUGAGAUGUUGGGUUAAGUCCCGCAACGAGCGCAACCCUUAUCUCUAGUUGCCAUCGGGUCAAGCCGGGCACUCUAGCGAAACCGCCUGGGAUAACCAGGAGGAAGGUGGGGAUGACGUCAAGUCCUCAUGGCCUUUAUGUCCAGGGCUACACACGUGCUACAAUGGUCGGUACAAACCGUCGCAAACCUGCGAAGGGGAGCUAAUCGGAAAAAGCCGGCCUCAGUUCGGAUUGGAGUCUGCAACCCGACUCCAUGAAGCUGGAAUCGCUAGUAAUCGCAGAUCAGAACGCUGCGGUGAAUACGUUCCCGGGCCUUGUACACACCGUAGUAC